CCUACGGGAGGCAGCAGUGAGGAAUAUUGGUCAAUGGUCGGGAGACUGAACCAGCCAAGCCGCGUGAGGGAUGAAGGUACAGAGUAUCGUAAACCUCUUUUGUCAGGGAACAAAGGCGGGGACGUGUCCCCGGAUGAGUGUACCUGAAGAAAAAGCAUCGGCUAACUCCGUGCCAGCAGCCGCGGUAAUACGGAGGAUGCGAGCGUUAUCCGGAUUUAUGGGGUUUAAAGGGGGCGCAGGCGGUCUGUUAAGUCAGCGGUCAAAGCCCGGGGCUCAACCCCGGCCCGCCGUUGAAACUGGCAGUCUCGAGUUGGAGAGAAGUAUGCGGAAGGCGCGGUGUAGCGGGGAAAUGCAUAGAUAUCGCGCAGAACUCCGAUUGCGAAGGCAGCAUGCCGGCUCCACACUGACGCUGAGGCACGAAAGCGUGGGUAUCGAACAGGAUUAGAUACCCGAGUAGUC
rnacentral:rRNA from 1 species